rnacentral:rRNA from 1 species
GAUGAACGCUAGCGGCAGGCCUAAUACAUGCAAGUCGGACGGGAUUGGAGAGCUUGCUUUCCAUGAGAGUGGCGCACGGGUGCGUAACACGUAUGCAACCUACCUUUACCAGGGGGAUAGCCUCUCGAAAGAGAGAUUAACACCGCAUAAAAUUAGUUUAUGGCAUCAUAAAUUGAUCAAAUAUUUAUAGGGUAAAGAUGGGCAUGCGGAACAUUAGCUAGUUGGUAAGGUAACGGCUUACCAAGGCGACGAUGUUUAGGGGAUCUGAGAGGAGAACCCCCCACACUAGUACUGAGUCACGGACCAGACUCCUACGGGAGGCAGCAGUAAGGAAUACUGGUCAAUGGGCGCAAGCCUGAACCAGCCAUGCCGCGUGCAGGAGGACGGCCCUACGGGUUGUAAACUGCUUUUGCACGGGAAUAAACCCUGAUACGUGUAUCAGGCUGAAUGUACCGUAAGAAUAAGGAUCGGCUAACUCCGUGCCAGCAGCCGCCGUAA